AGCAUUGUGUUGGAAAUGUCGUC
rnacentral:miRNA from 1 species